GACGAACGCUGGCGGCGUGCUUAACACAUGCAAGUCGAGCGGUAAGGCCCUUUCGGGGGUACACGAGCGGCGAACGGGUGAGUAACACGUGGGUGACCUGCCCUCAGCUCUGGGAUAAGCCCGGGAAACUGGGUCUAAUACCGGAUAUGACUCCAUGACGCAUGUUGUGGGGUGGAAAGCCUUGUGCGGCUGAGGAUGGGCCCGCGGCCUAUCAGCUUGUUGGUGGGGUGAUGGCCACCAAGGCGACGACGGGUAGCCGGCCUGAGAGGGCGACCGGCCACACUGGGACUGAGAUACGGCCCAGACUCCUACGGGAGGCAGCAGUGGGGAAUCUUGCGCAAUGGGCGAAAGCCUGACGCAGCGACGCCGCGUGAGGGAUGACGGCCUCGGUUGUAA
rnacentral:rRNA from 1 species